GGAAAGGCAAGCCAAUGGGCGAUGGCACCCCGCUCGAACCGGGACGAGCCGCUACGGCCUUGCGGGUUCGACUCCCGCCCUUUCCG
rnacentral:tRNA from 1 species